AUUGAACGCUGGCGGCAUGCCUUACACAUGCAAGUCGAACGGCAGCACGGGUGCUUGCACCUGGUGGCGAGUGGCGAACGGGUGAGUAAUACAUCGGAACAUGUCCUGUAGUGGGGGAUAGCCCGGCGAAAGCCGGAUUAAUACCGCAUACGAUCUACGGAUGACAGCGGGGGACCUUCGGGCCUCGCGCUAUAGGGUUGGCCGAUGGCUGAUUAGCUAGUUGGUGGGGUAAAGGCCUACCAAGGCGACGAACAGUAGCUGGUCGGAGAGGACGACCAGCCAGACUGGGAGUGAGACACGGCACAGACGGCUACGGGAAGCAGCAGUGGGGAAAUGUGGAGAAUGGGCGGGAGCCUGAUCCAGCAAUGCCGCGUGUUGGAAGAGGGCCUUCGGGUGGUAGAGCACGUUUGUCCGGAAAGAAAUCCUUGGGCCUAAUACGGUCGGGGGAUGACGGUACCGGAAGAAGAAGCACCGGCUAACUACGUG
rnacentral:rRNA from 1 species